AAAAAUUUAGUUAAAUUAUUAUAACAUUAGCUUGUCAAGCUAAAGUUAUUGGCUUCAAUAAUUUUUA
rnacentral:tRNA from 1 species